rnacentral:tRNA from 1 species
AGCUUAGUUGGUAAAGCACUCGUAUAGUAUACAAGAGUCGUGAGUUCGAAUCCCAC